GUCUUCUUGGAGAGUUAAGGUUAGCAGUGUCUCUCUUUGCAGAAGAAGCCAGCAUGAAUGCCUUGAUCUCCUCAUUCCUGCUUGUAGUCCUCGUAGCCCUGCGAGGUUCCCGCCCCGUAGUCGUUCAGAGAUGCGGUGAAAGAAAUCAGUGGCUAUUUGGCUCACAAGGUGUCGGCGUCUUUCGGAGGUAAAAUUUGGAAACGUGAAGACACCUGGUGGAAACCGGCGAGAUCUAUAUUUAACUGGUCUGGAUCCUGACUAUCCUGGCAACAUUAAGACCCCGUGAGAAGCUAAAGACGAAAUAUACGUUCUUUCAAGAACGACGUCAUGUGCACAGUCCGCAGCCAACCAAUUCACAGCGACGGGACUGGAAAUGAAGUCAAGACAUUUGAGGACGACAUUUCGACGACAAUCGGUGAAUAAUUAUUUCCACCUAGCUUGUAAAACAAUUACCGGCGUUCGUCUAUCGGUUCUUUUCGGUAAAUACCGAAGAUCGGGUACCGUACCGAUAAUGGAAUGUCCCAGCGGGCAGAUGUUCGUGUCCUGACGCUAGAGCGCCGUCGGUAGACCUGAGGAGCGGGUGCUCCAGGCGUGUCCCCAAGGACACACUGGCCUCCCAGGCUAUCCCAGGGAUGUCACUGAGGGAUAGGAAUGGCAUCCCUGGGACGUCCCCGAAUGGUGCUCAGUUUCUCAGAAAAGUGUUAGAAUGAGACUCUGCGUGUCGUCAUCAGAACUUACCCGGGAAAUCCCCCAAGGACACUGCUGGUAUGGCUUCAGGAGCACAACCGGGUACCUUAGUCAAUUCUUUAUUUUGAGAAGUAGGGCACAUUUACACCACCCAAUCAGCGUAUGUGUUUAUAUAUCUAUUUUUUUUUUCAACCUCGGUCACCAGUUUUGCAUUCGUGGUUUCUCAUCUUUAUUCGUUCAACGUAUUUCUCCUCACGAACAAUGAGUGUCACAGUUUAAAAAGCAAAAACAGAGAUAUAUAAAAGGCCCCUAUGCCGUUAAGACCAGCAAGCCCACUUAGAAAGGCGUAUGCUGCAGCAGCAUUUCCUUUCCAAGACAGAACAGAUACAAGUUAUUGAUUGUCUUUCGACCUUCGGCAAAUUCCUCUUCGCAUCUCCGUCAAAAUGAAGGGUGAGGUACCGAAGUUUGGCUUGAUUUCAGACAUAACCAACAAUGCAGUGAGAUAUCCCUUGGAGCAUUAAAUCGCUGUCCGUGGUAAAGGUAAUGUCCGUGUUUCUUACUGCUUUGGUUUGAGGCAUGCAUAUUAAGUGAAGCUUGGUCAAUGAAACACUAUGAUUUCUUGUCUCCUCAGAAAUAAAAUGCUCCGUGGAACGUCCCGCCAAGGACCCUUCGCGGAUACUCCUGCAACAAGAACGCAGUCUUGCAAACUAUAUUUUAGUGCACGUCAAACUUAGUGCAUG